GUCAGUUAUAAGAGGAAGUUUAUUACAUAGGUGCUCAGUCUAGUCUCUGAAAUAGGGAUGCCUCUUUCAAGAAAUAUAAAGUGAAGUGGAAGAGACCAAGACCUUUUUCUAAGUGUGUCAGAGACUAAUAGAGCUUGAAUUGAUGAAUUAAAAAAUGUACAGUGUAUGAAAGGAAGGGAAUAAAAUUCCUUUUUAUACCCAGAUCUAGCCCAGCAGCUGCCUCCUAACUCAUCCCAGGAAAGUUUUCAUGGUGAAUCUUUUCCUACCAGUACAUUGACAAGAUUCUUCCUAUUUGGUGGAGCCUGUGAGUCUUCCUCUGUGUCAAUGAGAACAGAACAUGGCUUCUUCAGCCCUCAGCACUCCACUGAGGAAAUCCUUUCAUUGAGCAGAACAGAGAAGGCAGACAACAGCUUGCAAACCUCUGAUAAGCCUGAUUCUUUGGCCCAGAGCAACAGAGGAGUCCAGAAGCUGUGUGCGCUGCUUCAGCCCAAUGUAGCAGAGGAACCC